AGUGAACGCUGGCGGUAGGCCUAACACAUGCAAGUCGAACGGCAGCACAGUAAGAGCUUGCUCUUACGGGUGGCGAGUCGCGGACGGGUGAGGAAUACAUCGGAAUCUACUUUUUCGUGGGGGAUAACGUAGGGAAACUUACGCUAAUACCGCAUACGACCUACGGGUGAAAGCAGGGGAUCUUCGGACCUUGCGCGAUUGAAUGAGCCGAUGUCGGGUUAGCUAGUUGGCGGGGUAAAGGCCCACCAAGGCGACGAUCCGUAGCUGGACUGAGAGGAUGAUCAGCCACACUGGAACUGAGACACGGUCCAGACUCCUACGGGAGGCAGCAGUGGGGAAUAUUGGACAAUGGGCGCAAGCCUGAUCCAGCCAUACCGCGUGGGUGAAGAAGGCCUUCGGGUUGUAAAGCCCUUUUGUUGGGAAAGAAAAGCAGCAGGUUAAUACCCCGCUGUUCUGACGGUACCCAAAGAAUAAGCACCGGCUAACUUCGUG
rnacentral:rRNA from 1 species